AGGGUGUAAACGCUGCAGACUUGGUGUUGGAGGCCCUUUGGGGGCAUUCAGUGCCGGAGAGAAGUUGUUAAGUCUGCUACUUGGGAGUACGUCCGCAGGGAUGAAACUUAAAGGAAUUGGCGGGGGGAGCACCGCAACGGGAGGAGCGUGCGGUUUAAUUGGAUUCAACACCGUAAAACUCACCAGGGAAGACCGUUACAUGAAGGCCGAGCUAAAGACUCUGCUAGAUUUUCAGAGAGGUGGUGCAUGGCGUCAGUGACU
rnacentral:rRNA from 1 species